GACGAACGCUGGCGGCGUGCUUAACACAUGCAAGUCGAACGGAAAGGCCCUGCUUUUGUGGGGUGCUCGAGUGGCGAACGGGUGAGUAACACGUGAGUAACCUGCCCUUGACUUUGGGAUAACUUCAGGAAACUGGGGCUAAUACCGGAUAGGAGCUCCUGCUGCAUGGUGGGGGGUGGAAAGUUUCGGCCGUUGGGGAUGGACUGGCGGCUUAUCAGCUUGUUGGUGGGGUAGUGGCUUACCAAGCGUUUGACGGGUAGCCGGCAUGAGAGGGUGACCGGCGACAAUGGGACUAAGAUACGGACCAGUCGCGAACGGGAGGCAGUGGGGGGAAGUAUGGCACAACGGGGCGAAGUCUGAGACGACAACGUUGGGUUCGUGAUGCCGGCUUUCUGGUUGUAAACCGCUGUCGACUGAGACGAAGCGGGAGUGACGGUAACGGGUAAAGAAGCACCGGCUAACUACGUG
rnacentral:rRNA from 1 species